GCCCGCAUAGCUCAGUUGGUAGAGCGCCUGAUUUGUAAUCAGAUGGUCGUUGGUUCGAUUCCGACUGCGGGCUCCA
rnacentral:tRNA from 1 species